GCUACAAGCUGUUUCCCAUGUCUAUCCCGCUUGCUGAAAUGGUAGAUUUCCUAAUGGAUUUUUGGGAGCUGGAAGGACUGUACGAUUGACAUGUUUGUAAGUAAAGGAUUAUUUUAUCGAUGAAUGAUGAACAGUCAAGUAGUGACAGACACUUAGAUAGGCUGAUGUAAAUUUGAUUUGCUUCGUGACUGGGAAGGUAGGAGGUUACUAAUGGAGUUUCUCUAAUGAAAUGUAAUUAACUUCUGGCAAAUUGAAACAUUUUGUACUGAUAAAGGCGUGUUUAGACAAGAAUUAAUUGAUAUUUUAAAGAAAAUAUUUGCAAGUUGA